rnacentral:tRNA from 1 species
GGGGAUUUGGCUCAGUGGUAGAGCACUUGCCUAGCAAGUGCAAGGCCCUGGGUUCAAUCCCCAGCUCCG